CAUGCAGUCGAGCGGACCUUUGGAGCUUGCUCCAUUGGUUUAGCGGCGGACGGGUGAGUAACACGUGGGCAACCUGCCCUGCAGAUCGGGAUAACUCCGGGAAACCGGUGCUAAUACCGAAUAGUUUUUUGCCCCUCCUGGGGCGAAACGGAAAGACGGUUUCGGCUGUCACUGCAGGAUGGGCCCGCGGCGCAUUAGCUAGUUGGUGGGGUAAUGGCCCACCAAGGCGACGAUGCGUAGCCGACCUGAGAGGGUGAUCGGCCACACUGGGACUGAGACACGGCCCAGACUCCUACGGGAGGCAGCAGUAGGGAAUCUUCCGCAAUGGACGCAAGUCUGACGGAGCAACGCCGCGUGAGUGACGAAGGUUUUCGGAUCGUAAACUCUGUUGUGAGGGAAGAACAAGUACCAAGUAACUACUGGUACCUUGACGGUACCUCACCAGAAAGCCACGGCUAACUACGUGCCAGCAGCCGCGGUAAUACGUAGGUGGCAAGCGUUGUCCGGAAUUAUUGGGCGUAAAGCGCGCGC
rnacentral:rRNA from 1 species